CUUCCGCCAACGUUGCAGGGCUCUACCACAACAUCCCAAUAUUGUUAGAAUUUAUAAUGCAUUCACAGACAGUGUGCAGGCACUGCCAGGGUCACUCUCAUUAUAUCCGGACGCCUUACCAGCACGCAUCAACCCCAAUGGUUUUGGUAGGAAUAUGAGUCUCUUCCUUGUCAUGAAAAGGUAUGAUAUGAGUUUAAAGGAUUUCUUAUGCCAACAUCCCCCAAAUACCAAAAUAGCCAUCAUGUUGUUAACUCAAUUACUUGAAGCAGUUACUCAUAUGGUUUCCAAUGGAGUUGCUCAUCGAGACCUAAAAGCAGACAAUAUUCUGCUUGAUUUAGAUGAAAGUGAUACCAUGUGCCCUACUUUAGCUGUAACUGAUUUUGGAUGCUGCUUAGCUGACCAAGUGUAUGGUUUGAGUUUACACUACACUACACCCGAUACAGACAAAGGUGGCAAUGCUGCUCUUAUGGCCCCAGAGGUUGCAUGUGCUGAACCUGGCCCUUUCACAUAUAUCAACUACAAUAAGGCAGAUGUUUGGGCUGUUGGAACUUUAGCUUACCAGCUGUUUGGAAUGGACAACCCUUUCCAUAGGAUAAGCAAUAAUCAAGGCCUUAGUGGCACAGGAACCAAAUUUUUACUGUCAGCCACUUACACCGAAUCAGAGCUUCCUCCUUUUCCAGAAACUGUUCCAUCCAUCAUUUCAAAGCUUGUGAUGGAAAUGUUAAUGCGCAACCCAUCCAGACGUAUUACUGCUGAACUUGCUGCUACCGUAUGUCAAUUAUAUUUGUGGGCUCCAAGUUCUUGGAUUCAGUUCGGAAAGAAGACCACUCUUCCAAGUAGUUCUGAGAUUCUACAGUGGUUGUUCUGCCUUACUACCAAAGUUGUGUCUGAAGGACGAAGAAUAAGCUCUGCGAAAUUCAUGUCUGAUGAGGGUGAACCGCUAUUCAAGGCGGAGUUUAAUUCUGAUCUUGGACAUGCUUCUCCAGAAUAUAAUUUGGUUGAAAGCUUUUUGAGACGAAUCAAGCUGUCGGUGGUUCGGGAUGCUCUCCAGUGGAUUAACCAAGCUUAAAAAUGCUUUUUUCUUCUUUUAGAACUUGCUGUUUGUUUGUUUAUAAUUUGGAAGUACUGGGGUUUUGUCAGUAAUAACAUUUAAUUCUGCAGCAGUGCGUUUGGGCUUUAGGAAUCAUCAGUACAGUUACCCUUUUCAAGCACAUAUAAAUUUUUACUUCAAGAUGCAACCCAAGUGUGCCAUGUAGAAUGUGUGCACUAUAUAGAGAGGUCCAAUUAAUUUAUGGCUGUGAAUUAAUGUAAGGGUGAGAGGUAAAGGGCAGCUUUCUGGUAAAGGAAAGUGAUUGCUUGGUCUUGAUGCAAAAAAGGAAAAAUUUUCUAGGUAAUCAGUUGUGUAAUGACAGACUACCUUGAACACUAAAAGUUCUCAUGUCAUGGAUAAAUUUUGGCUCUUCCUCUCCUCUUGUCCCCAAUGAGGAAAGCAUUAGGGUUACAUGGAUGGAUUGAACGAUUGGAAAAUGUGGGAAGACAUUCUUCAUAAAUAGAAGAACAUUUCACAGUCUGUUAACUACUUUUAAUUUUAUUAUAGGUACUUAAUAAACAAACAUGUCUAAAAACAUGUAAUUAAAUCAACAGCCAAA